UCAACAUUUUUGCGGUUUGCAUUGCAAUGAUUAAUUUUCAUAGCAAAUUUUUUUUGGAAAAUGAAUGAUAUUAGACGGAUAAUGUGCAUCUCAACAAGUGUAUUCCAAAAUCAACCUAUUAACUAUUUGUUAACUAUAAAAUAACAUUUAUGGAUUGAAGGUGUUCGAUGAAAUGCCUAGUAGGGACAAGUUUACUUGGACUGCUUUGGUUGAUGGGUAGUGCAAAUGUGGUAAGGUUGAGAUUGCUAGAGAGGUAUUUGAUCAAAUGCCUGAUAAGAGUUUGGUUACUUGGAAUGUUAUGAUUAAUGGGUAUAUGAAGGUUGGGAAAAUUGAAUUGGCGAAUGAAUUGUUUCGGUGUAUGCCUGCGAGGAGUUUAAUAUGUUAGAACUCAAUGAUAGUUGGAUAUCAGCUCAAUAGGUGUUUUUAUGAAGGUAUGGAGUUGUUUGAAGCGUUUUUGAAAGAGGGGCUUGUGCCUAGCAAUGUUACGUUGUUGAGUGCUCUUUCUGCUGUUUCGGGUUUGGCUGUUUUUGGUAAUGGAAGAUGGAUUAUUCGUUUAUGGUUAAGCAUGGAUUUGAGUUGGAUGGUGUACUUGGUACUUCAUUGAUAGAAAUUUAUUCAAAGUGUGGAAGUAUAGAGAGUGCUGUUGCAGUUUUUAAUGCAAUUGCCAAUAAGAAAUUGGGGCAUUGAACGGCUAUAAUUGUGGGCUUAGGAAUGCAUGGUUUGCCUCGUUGACAUUUUAUGUCGAGCUGGGCAUCUUGAACAGGCAAAAUAAAUAAUUGAGAGCAUGCCGGUGCCGGUGAGACCCAACAAAGUCAUAUGGAUGAGUUUGCUUGGUGGUGCUGGGAACCAUGGAAACUUGGACAUAGGUGAAUAUGCAGCCCACAGUUUGAUUGAGGAGGAUUCAGAUGCUCGUACUGGGUGUUACACUGUACUUUCUAACGUGUAUGAUGCAGCUGGGAAGUGGGAUAAAGUUUCACAUGUAAGAGAAAUGAUGAAGAAGAGAGGAAUGAAAAAGGAUGCUGGAUGCAGCCAGCUUCAUUGAGCACAAGGGUCAACUUCAUCGGUUUAUAGUGGAUGAUAGAUCGCAUUCCCAAACCCAGGAUAUAUAUGCAAAGUUGAGGGAAAUGAGGGAGAAGCUGAAACUGGAGGGACAUGUUCCUGACACAAGCCAAGUUCUGCUAAAUAUUGAAGGCGAGAAAGAAAAAGAAUCUGAAUUAGAUAACCAAAGUGAGAGGUUGGCCAUUUCUUUUGGUCUCAUCAAUAUGGAAAGAAGAACUCCUAUUCGCAUUAUAAAGUACCUUCGAGUCUGUAACGAUUGCCAUGUAGUUACCAAACUCCUCUCAGCUAUCUAUGACCGUGAAAUUAUAGUGAGAGAUAAUAGCCGCUUCCAUCAUUUUAAAAAAGGAUAAUGUUCUUGAAAUGACUUUUGGUGACAUGUCGCAGACUCUUGAUGAGGUACCUUCUGGUAUAUUGAUUUGGCAAACACGUGAUAACAAGUUGGAACUUUUCACGAUCCUCAGUUUUGUGCAUGUGAAAUGCUAAAAGGUAUGCAUUCAUGAUGCCUUAUUCGCGUGCAAACUAAUUCAUUCUAAAUAGCAGGCGUCUUUGUGUGAUUACCUUUAAGUAGCUGAUUUUUUUUUAAGCAGUAGAUGAUAAAAAAAAGUCGGCCGACGCCUUGAACUUGGUUGCAUUAUUUGAACUAAUUAACUUUAAAGGAAGGGUUGUCUAGGUUAUUGGGAAUAAAAAUAUAGUAUGACAAACAUAGGCCCCAUCACUAUGCUAAAUUCGUGCACAAGAUUUGAUAUUUCUUGGAAUCCAUAUUUCUAAUAUAUAAUCAACAACAUACAGGUUCUUCUGCUCAUGUAGUUACAUUGGUGAAAAUGGGAGUUAAACACAACAGAAAUGCAAAUGAGAGCAGAAGAUUGCAUCUGACAAAACAGGCAUUAUAUGGCAUUCUCAUUGUCCAGGG